GGUUCUACUGGUGUUACUGGUUCUGCUGGUGAGACGAUGUGUUCACAGGAACCCUGAAGAAUAUCAUAAAGAUGUUUUAGAAGAUGAAAUCAUCACUCAUGUCAUGUACAACGCCAUCAAGAUAUUAAAUCAGCAGCAGCAGCCAAUCAGACAGCAGAGAGAGACGGAUUCAGUCGUAGUCUACUCAGGAGGGAGAAUUGAAGACGUCAGUUAUGGACAGACAACCAUCAGAACAAAGAGUCCCAGACUUUAAACCAGAGCCAGACGUCAUCUACUCUUCACUGAAGUAGUCCACCAGUCCAACCACUGACGUCCAGUUGCUGGUCUCUAACUGGUUCAUCACAGCACCUCAGACUAGAGAACAUCCACAUGUUACAGAGAUUUUUAUAAGUAUUUUCAUCUUGGUUGAAAAAGCUAAAAAUCACCAAACUAAACUUUUUUGUGUUCGCUGGUGUUACGAAAUAAAUAUUUCUGCAACAUCAACAAAUUUUCGCUCUCACUUUCAUUUCUCACGUGGGUCUCUGGGUUUCUAAAAUAUGUCCUGUGGAAAGUUUGAUUUGUUGCUGUUUUGUUGUGGCUAACCGACA